rnacentral:misc_RNA from 1 species
AACGCAUAUUGCGCCCUUUGGUAUUCCGAAGGGCAUGCCUGUUCGAGCGUCAUUAAUACCCUAUCAAGCUUGGCUUGUUGUUGGGCCCUUUUGUCACUGGGUGACAGGUCCGAAAGACAAUGGCCGGUGUCAUACAGACUCCCUAUGCAACGAGCUUAUAACGGCACGCAUCUGGUGGUUAUGUGACCUGGUUUGCACCCUUUCUUUCUCAAGGUUGACCUCGGAUCAGGUAGGAAUACCCGCUGAACUUAA